GACGAACGCUGGCGGCGUGCUUAACACAUGCAAGUCGAACGGAAAGGCCCUGCUUUUGUGGGGUGCUCGAGUGGCGAACGGGUGAGUAACACGUGAGUAACCUGCCCUUGACUUUGGGAUAACUUCAGGAAACUGGGGCUAAUACCGGAUAGGAGCUCCUGCUGCAUGGUGGGGGUUGGAAAGUUUCGGCGGUUGGGGAUGGACUCGCGGCUUAUCAGCUUGUUGGUGGGGUAGUGGCUUACCAAGGCUUUGACGGGUAGCCGGCCUGAGAGGGUGACCGGCCACAUUGGGACUGAGAUACGGCCCAGACUCCUACGGGAGGCAGCAGUGGGGAAUAUUGCACAAUGGGCGGAAGCCUGAUGCAGCAACGCCGCGUGCGGGAUGACGGCCUUCGGGUUGUAAACCGCUUUCGCCUGUGACGAAGCGUGAGUGACGGUAAUGGGUGAAGAAGCACCGGCUAACUACGU
rnacentral:rRNA from 1 species